rnacentral:rRNA from 1 species
UGUAAGCGUAUACCAAAGUUGUUGCCGUUAAAACGCUCGUAGUCGGAAUUUGGCAGUUCCGGAUGUGUGCACGUCGUGUGCGCACUUCGCGGGGAUUGCUUUUGUGGUCUUGCGUAGGAUGAGGCACUUUUAUUAGUGAACGUCCUCACGCAACCACUUUUUACUGUGAGAAAAUCAGAGUGCUCAAAGCAGGCAUUUGCCGUGAAUGUAUUAGCAUGGAAUAAUAGAAUAGGACUUGGUUCUAUUUUGUUGGUUUGUUGGGACUGAGUAAUGAUUAAGAGGGACAGUUGGGGGCAUUUGUAUUUCGGUGCUAGAGGUGAAAUUCUUAGAUUACCGAAAGACAAACUGCUGCGAAAGCGUCUGCCAAGGAUGUUUUCAUUGA